UAUUCAAUAAGAAGGGUCAUAGGUGGUAGUGUUGUAUAGGUAGUUGGUGGACAUCUUGUUUAUUCAGUAAGAAGGGUCAUAGGUGGUAGUGUUGUAUAGGUAGUUGGUGGACAUCUUGUUUAUUCAGUAAGAAGGGUCAUAGGUGGUAGUGUUGUAUAGGUAGUUGGUGGACAUCUUGUUUAUUCAGUAAGAAGGGUCAUAGGUGGUAGUGUUGUAUAGGUAGUUGGUGGACAUCUUGUUUAUUCAGUAAGAAGGGUCAUAGGUGGCAGUGUUGUAUAGGUAGUUGGUGGACAUCUUGUUUAUUCAGUAAGAAGGGUCAUAGGUGGCAGUGUUGUAUAGGUAGUUGGUGGACAUCUUGUUUAUUCAGUAAGAAGGGUCAUAGGUGGCAGUGUUGUAUAGGUAGUUGGUGGACAUCUUGUUUAUUCAGUAAGAAGGGUCAUAGGUGGUAGAGUUGUAUAGGUAGUUGGUGGACAUCUUGUUUAUUCAGUAAGUAGGGUCAUAGGUGGCAGU